rnacentral:rRNA from 1 species
CCUACGGGCGGCAGCAGUGGGGAAUAUUGGGCAAUGGGCGCAAGCCUGACCCAGCAACGCCGCGUGAAGGAAGAAGGCUUUCGGGUUGUAAACUUCUUUUAAGAGGGAAGAGCAGAAGACGGUACCUCUUGAAUAAGCCACGGCUAACGACGUGCCAGCAGCCGCGGGAAUACGUAGGUGGCAAGCGUUGUCCGGAUUUACUGGGUGUAAAGGGCGUGCAGCCGGGAAGACAAGUCAGAUGUGAAAUCCCGCGGCUCAACCUCCAAAUUGCAUUUGAAACUGUUUGUCUUGAGUACUGGAGAGGCAGGCGGAAUUCCUUGUGUAGCGGUGAAAUGCGUAGAUAUAAGGAGGAACACCAGUGGCGAAGGCGGUCUGCUGGACAGCAACUGACGGUGAGGCGCGAAAGCGUGGGGAGCAAACAGGAUUAGAUACCCUUGUAGUC